UGAAAAAGUAAUAGAAGAUAUUUCUUGUGCCUCUCAGUUCUGUCAUCAGUUGGUUCCAUUCCAUUUGUUUCUCUCACAGUCGGGGGUGAUAUGUGUGUGCACGCCUACCUCAGCGGGCAGCCCUUGGAGGAAUCACAGCUGAGCAUGCUGGCCUGCUUCCUCGUCUACCACUCUGUGCCAGCUCCACGGCACCUGCCACCUAUAGGACUAGAAGGGAGCACAAGCUUUGCUGAACUGCUCUUCAAAUUUAAGCAGCUAAAAAUGCCAGUGCGAGCUUUGCUGAGAUUGGCUCCUUUGCUUCUUGGAAAUCCACAGCCAAUGGUGAUGUGACCGUGUCUGGCGGUGAACCUACCCUGAAACGUGACUUCUGCACAAAAAACGUGACCAAACAUCAAAGCUAAAGCAAUGUUUAUAAAGUUUUAUGGUAUAACUAGGGGGAAAUGAGCUGCACAAACCUUAAUGUAUUUUAAAUCUGUUGCUGUCAUCAUUAACGUUAUAUGAUAUAUAAAAGCAAGUUAAAAUUUACUUUUGUAAAUAAAGUUUUUGGUUUGUUUUCAAAACUCUCGAUGAUUGCUUUAGUUUUGGACUUAGAGAAUAGAGCAGGGGUUGCUGGAGUGAAUAUUGAUUUUUAAAGUCUUUGAACUGUGGUGGUAUAGGUGAAGUGACUAUGUCCAAAAAUGCCAAGUUUUAAAAGAAGCUAUGUCAUAAAGUUUUACUUUCUGUGGCAAAAGAGCGCUU
rnacentral:lncRNA from 1 species